rnacentral:tRNA from 1 species
GGCGACGUGGCCAAGAGGUAAGGCAGAGGCCUGCAAAGCCUUUACCACCGGUUCGAAUCCGGUCGUCGCCUCCA